GUGCUUGCUUCAGUAGCACAGAUACUAAAAUUGAGUUCAGAGAAGAUCAGAAUGGCCCUGUGCAAGGAGGAUAUGUAACACUGCAAUGUUCCAUAUUUUA
ensembl:snRNA U6 U6 spliceosomal RNA